GUAGGAGGCAAGCGUUAUCCGGAUUCACUGGGCGUAAAGCGCGUGCAGGUGGCGCGGUAAGUUAGGCGUGAAAUCUCCCGGCUCAACUGGGAGAGGUCGUCUAAUACUACCGUGCUCGAGAGCAGAAGAGGAAGAUGGAAUUCCCGGUGUAGUGGUGAAAUGCGUAGAUAUCGGGAGGAACACCAGUGGCGAAGGCGAUCUUCUGGUCUGUUUCUGACACUCAGACGCGACAGCUAGGGUAGUAAACGGGAUUAGAGACCCCGGUAAUCCUAGCCGUAAACGAUGUGAACUUGGCGUUGGUGGGUUAAACUCCAUCAGUGCCGUAGCAAACGCGAUAAGUUCACCGCCUGGGGACUACGGCCGCAAGGUUAAA
rnacentral:rRNA from 1 species